GGAAAGCCUUCUCCCUCAUUGCCCGCCGAGCCUCCCUUCUUGGCUGCGCCCUCUUUCCCUUCCCCUCCUUGGGCUUAGCGGCUUGCCGGAGGAAGCGCUUGAGGAACUCGCAGUCCUUGUAGAGGUGCUUGACGGGGUAGGCAUGGUUGGUGUAGGGACUCUCCAUGAGCUUGUCGAAGUGAUCAUGCUGGCCCUGUUGGGGUUGCCUGCCCGGGCGGUCGGUCGCGGUGACCAGGGCCGGGUUGGUCGGGCAGCACUGAUCCUUCUUAUUCUUCUUGCCCCGCUGGGUGGAGGGUCCCUCGUCCUGGACCUCUCGCUUUGCCUUGCCCUUGUCCUAACCGUUGCUGAAGACCACCCCGACCACCUCCUCACUGGAGGCGUGGUUCGUGUCAAUGUCGAGCAGCUCCCGGGUGGUCCGGGGCUUCAC
rnacentral:lncRNA from 1 species